rnacentral:rRNA from 1 species
AACGAACGCUGGCGGCAGGCCUCAAACAUGCAAGUCUAGGGGGCGUAGCAAUACGUCACCGGCGGACGGGUGCGUAACACGUGGGAAUAUACCUUUCGGUACGGAACAACGCAGGGAAACUUGCGCUAAUACCGUAUACGUCCUUACGGAGAAAGACUUAUCGCCGAAGGAUUAGCCCGCGUUCGAUUAGCUAGUUGGUGAGGUAAUGGCUCACCAAGGCAACGAUCGAUAGCUGUUCUGAGAGGAAGAUCAGCCACACUGGGAC